rnacentral:rRNA from 1 species
GACGUAGGGGGCAAGCGUUGUCCGGAUUUACUGGGCGUAAAGAGCGCGUAGGCGGUCUGUUAAGUGUAGAGUGAAAGCUCCGGGCUCAACCCGGAAACCGCUCUGCAUACUGGCAGACUGGAGGGACGCAGAGGUCUGUGGAAUUCCUGGUGUAACGGUGAAAUGUGUUGAUAUCAGGAGGAACACCCAUGGCGAAGGCGCUGACCUGGACGAUGAUUGACGCUGAGGCGCGAAAGCAUGGGGAGCGAACAGG